CUUACUGUAGAACCUGUACACAGCAUUUUACUGUAGAUCUGCAAAGGAUCAUGGUCAAGAUUCAGUGGUGGGCGAAUUCUACAGUAAGCAUAUUUCUGCUGUGAAUCACAAUACGUUACGUGAGGCAUGUCUAAGUAGCCUACUGAAGUGGACUAAAGCAAAACAGAGCCCCAAAACAGUCCAGGGAAGAAAACUUCAGCCCAAGAUGUGGAUUCCAGCAAAUGUAAAACAAAGCACUUGCACAUUUUUGUUUUUGUUCAGAACAGCUGUGUUUAUAAAAAUAUGAAUUUAUUUAUUUAAUUA